GAGUGGACAUUUGCCAUGAUUCUUUAAUCCACGCCACAAGAAUUACGUUCAGCUUCACCCACUCCCAUUGGGCUCUUUAAGGCAUCGGUUAUGUUGUAUCUAGGGUAUCUUAUUGUUUGUAGUUUAUCAAAUAGGUACCAGUUAGUAGUUACUAUGUGCAGAUAACAAUCAUAAGUUUACACCCCAUUGAUAUUUUUGUAGGGAAUUAUAUCUAUGUAGACCCUUAUUUUGUG
rnacentral:misc_RNA from 1 species